rnacentral:rRNA from 1 species
GUGCCAGCCGCGGCGGUAAUACGAAGGGUGCAAGCGUUAAUCGGAAUUACUGGGCGUAAAGCGUGCGUAGGCGGUCUUUAAGUCUGCUGUGAAAUCCCCGGGCUCAACCUGGGAAUGGCAGUGGAUACUGGGAGGCUAGAGUGUGAUAGAGGAUGGUGGAAUUCCCGGUGUAGCGGUGAAAUGCGUAGAGAUCGGGAGGAACAUCAGUGGCGAAGGCGGCCAUCUGGAUCAACACUGACGCUGAGGCACGAAAGCGUGGGAGCAAACAGGAUUAGAUACCCUGGUAGUCCACGCCCUAAACGAUGCGAACUGGAUGUUGUCUCAAACUCGGAGAUCAGUGUCGAAGCUAACGCGUUAAGUUCGCCGCCGUGGGAGUACGGUCGCAAGACUGAAACUCAAAGGAUUG